UUACUACCGGACCUGAGCAAGGCCGUUCCGUCACCGUUUUCAGACGCCCCCGGGGUCGCGGCUGCUGGGGCGGAUCUUCUGUUCGUCUGGAGGCCGCAGCCGCAAAGAAUGAGCCGUACUCUGGGAAAGGUGCUGGGCCUAGGGAACAACUCUGUUUCUAAACAAGUCUUUUCCCUCUUAAGAAUCUCAGGAGAGAAUCCCAUUUAUUCAGCAGGUAAGUCAUUAUUUUCUGAUAUCGGU